GACGAACGCUGGCGGCGUGCUUAACACAUGCAAGUCGAACGAAGUGGCGAACGGGUGAGUAACGCGUAAUCAACCUGCCCUUCAGAGGGGGACAACAGUUGGAAACGACUGCUAAUACCGCAUACUGAAGGAGGGGAUUGCGUCGGAUUAGCUGGUUGGCGGGGUAAAGGCCCACCAAGUCGACGAUCAGUAGCGGGGCUGAGAGGAUGAUCCGACACACGGGGACUGAGACACGGCCCAGACUCCUACGGGAGGCAGCAGUGGGGAAUUUUGGACAAUGGGCGCAAGCCUGAUCCAGCCAUGCCGCGUGGCUGAAGAAGGCCUUCGGGUUGUAAAGGACUUUUGUCAGGGAAGCGGUACCUGAAGAAUAAGCACCGGCUAACUACGUGCCAGCAGCCGCGGUAAUUC
rnacentral:rRNA from 1 species